rnacentral:rRNA from 1 species
AUACGUAGGUGGCAAGCGUUAUCCGGAUUUAUUGGGCGUAAAGGGCGUGUAGGCGGUUUACACAGUCAGAUGUGAAAUCCCCGGGCUUAACCUGGGAGCUGCAUUUGAUACGUGUAGACUAGAGUGUGAGAGAGGGUUGUGGAAUUCCCAGUGUAGAGGUGAAAUUCGUAGAUAUUGGGAAGAACACCGGUGGCGAAGGCGGCAACCUGGCUCAUGACUGACGCUGAGGCGCGAAAGCGUGGGGAGCAAACAGGAUUAGAUACCCUGGUAGUCCACGCUGUAAACGAUGUGUGCUAGAUGUUGGGUAACUUUGUUAUUCAGUGUCGCAGUUAACGCGUUAAGCACACCGCCUGGGGAGUACGGCCGCAAGGUUGAA